AUUGGAUUGAGACAUGUACAACUCUUAUCGAUAAGCCAUUGGAGGGCAAGUCUGGUGCCAGCAGCCGCGGUAAUUCCAGCUCCAAUAGCGUAUAUGAACGUUGUUGCAGUUAAAAAGCUCGUAAUUGAAGUGGGGGUGAUCGCUGUUGUGAGACUUCGGUCUCUCGACAGUAAGUCACCCCCUUCCGAGCUAUCCUGUAUUGGGUAUUCAGUUACUUACUAUUGUGUGUUGGUCAUUUACUGUGAGAAAAUUACGAGUGUUCAAAGCAGGCGUUUGCUUGAAUAGAUUAACACGGAAUAAUAAUUGAAGGCUUUCGUGUUCGAUUUGAUUGGUUUGUUCAUGGAAGCAAGGUUAACAGGAAGAGGUGGGGGUAUU
rnacentral:rRNA from 1 species